CUGCGGGUCCGGCCUGCUACUACUGGCUCUCAAUGCCUUGCCGGGCCUCGGCCCUGCCCUACGAAUCCUUGUAAUUUCCGCUGGAUGGACGAAGGACGACCUCCAGGCAGUCUAUUCAGGCUGCUACACAAAAUGCUAUAAAAAGGUGGCUUGAUAACAACAAAUAUCUACCUCUUAUGUUCUGGAGACUGGGAAGACGAAGAUCAAGAAACCAGUGGAUUCAAUGUCUGGUCUGAAGCAUGGAC